rnacentral:rRNA from 1 species
AGCAGCCGCGGUAAUUCCAGCUCCAAUAGCGUAUAUUAAAGUUGUUGCAGGUAAAAAGCUCGUAGUUGAAUUUCGGGGUCAGUAGGUUGGUCAUGCCACUGGUAUGUACUGGCCUCACUGAUUCCUCCUUCCUGAUGAGCCGUAAUGCCAUUAAUUUGGUGUUGCGAGGAAUCUGGACUGUUACUUUGAAAAAUUAGAGUGUUUAAAGCAGGCUAACGCUUGAAUACAUUAGCAUGGAAUAAUGAAAUAGGACGUUCGAUCUUAUUUUGUUGGUUCUAAGAUUGACGUAAUGAUUAAUAGGGAUAGUUGGGGGCAUUAGUAUUCAAUUGUCAGAGGUGAAAUUCUUGGAUUUAUUGAAGACUAACUACUGCGAAAGCAUUUGCCAAGGAUGUUUUCAUUAAUCAAGAACGAAAGUUAGGGGAUCGAAGACGAUCAGAUACCGUCGUAGUCUUAACCAUAAACUAUGGCCGACUAGGGAUCGAAUGAUGUUAAUUUUUUAAUGA